ensembl:lncRNA
AAUGCAAAUGGCUGCCAGGUUGUAGAGAUGCAUCUGGAACAGUCAUAUGUCCUUUCACUCUAUCCUCCUUUUUCAACUUUUGAACAUUAUUUUCUUUAGUAGAGAAAGUGUUGUCAGCCUUUUUAAUUUUACCUUUUUCUUUCUGUUGUAUAAGAAGAAAAUGAAUCACCACACAGCUGUUUUGAUUCAGUAGCAAUCAAAGCAUUUCAUGUUGUUAGUGUGGUGUUUCUAGAGUAAACUCGGUGAAGAGCUGCUCGGACCUUCCUCUGAGAAUUGUCACAAGGACUUUCAUGAGUCUCCUUGCCUUAGCUUGGGUGGCAACUUCACUUUUGGUCUGACCAUCAGAAUCCAUAAAGCUGAGAAUGUAUAUGGACGUAAGACAUUCAUCAUUUUGAAGAUAUCAAGUUGAAUAUAGAUCGUACAAAAGAGUCUUACCAACAAAUUCAGCACUGAUGAAAGCUUUUGCACAUACUUAUUUAUCUCUGAGACAAGGCUAUCACAGUCAUUUGGAUGAGUAACUGUAAGUAGUUUCUCUGUGAAGUGCUAUUAUGCUUGACAUAUUUUACAGCCAGAAAAGUGUAUUGUAUUUUAAUAUUUCUUCACUGUGUUGUAUGUUCUGAAAUAACUUUUCUUCAUUUCCUUGUAUCUGUCAUUAACAUUUCUAUCUAUUGUGUUUAAAUUAAUACUGUAAUCUCUGAAGUGCUAUUGAAGAUGGCCAACAUUACUGUUUAUGUAUUGAUGUAAACAAAUCCUGCUUUUGGUUUAAGUUAUACUCCUUAAAUUACUAGAACAACUUUGGUUCUCAGAAGGUAUUUCUUUGGCUAACUGUUGCUUCAAAUUAUAGGUAAUAAUGGCCUUGUGGAAAUAUUUACCAGCUUUUACUAAUCCACUAUUUUAUGAAUGAGGGAAAAAAACAAAUGGACAAGCAAGCAAAAGCAUGACAACCACUCUUUGUUUCAAACACUUUCUUUAAGUCAUUUGAGAGUUUUCAAAGCUACUCACUGUAAUGCUAUAUUUACAUGAACUCUUCCAGUGUAAACUUUAAUUACCUUGUAAUGAAUUAAAGAAAAUGCAUUUGA